rfam:Triticum aestivum genome assembly, contig: Triticum_aestivum_CS42_TGACv1_scaffold_227313_3B
AUAUUACUCCCUCCGUCCCAAAAUUCUUGUCUUAGAUUUGCCUCAAUACGAAUGUAUCAAGUCACGUUUUAGUAUUAGAUACAUCCGUAUCUAGGCAAUUCUAAGACAAGAAUUUUGAGACGGAGGGAGUACUAC